rnacentral:lncRNA from 1 species
GAGAGAGAGAGAUGGUUCUUUGUACACCACUAAGAAAUUCGCUCACAGGAUGAAAUGUAUCACAUCCAUCACAUAAUGAAACAUGUUGCAUGCAGGAUGACAUGUGAGAGAGAACGCGUAUGGCCACACUAUGUAAAUUGGAAAAACAAGUGAAUCCAUAGACACAAAAUAAGGAUGCAUGCAACUCGGGCUAUUGGAUGGGUUUG